UACGUAGGGGGGCAAGCGUUGUCCGGAUUUAUUGGGCGUAAAGCGCGCGUAGGCGGCUUUGUAAGUUAGAGGUGAAAGCCCGGAGCUCAACUCCGGAACUGCCUUUAAGACUGCAUCGCUAGAAUUGUGGAGAGGUGAGUGGAAUUCCGAGUGUAGAGGUGAAAUUCGUAGAUAUUCGGAAGAACACCAGUGGCGAAGGCGACUCACUGGACACAUAUUGACGCUGAGGUGCGAAAGCGUGGGGAGCAAACAGG
rnacentral:rRNA from 1 species